CCCGACAAGCUCUGCGACCAGGUCUCCGAUGCCAUACUUGAUGCCUGCUUGGAACAGGACCCUGAAAGCAAGGUCGCUUGUGAGACCUGCACCAAGACCAACAUGGUGAUGGUGUUUGGCGAGAUCACCACCAAGGCCCAGGUAAACUACGAGAAGAUUGUUCGUGACACUUGCCGAGGCAUCGGUUUCGUCACCGCCGACGUUGGCCUCGACGCCGACCGCUGCAAGGUCCUUGUUAACAUCGAGGAGCAGAGCCCCGACAUAGCCCAGGGAGUGCACGGGCACCUCACGAAGAAGCCCGAGG
rnacentral:lncRNA from 1 species